UACGGGGGGGGCAAGCGUUGUUCGGAAUUACUGGGCGUAAAGGGCGCGUAGGCGGCCAACUAAGUCAGACGUGAAAUCCCUCGGCUUAACCGGGGAACUGCGUCUGAUACUGGAUGGCUUGAAUCCGGGAGAGGGAUGCGGAAUUCCAGGUGUAGCGGUGAAAUGCGUAGAUAUCUGGAGGAACACCGGUGGCGAAGGCGGCAUCCUGGACCAACACUGACGUUGAGUGAGCGAAAGCCAGGGGAGCAAACGGG
rnacentral:rRNA from 1 species